rnacentral:rRNA from 1 species
AGCUGCAGUCGAGGAUCUUUCGCAUGGGCGAAGCCUGACGAAGCGACGCUGUGUGAGCGAUGAAGGCCUUCGGGUUGUAAAGCUCUUUCGCAUAAGAACAAGAAAGGUUGGUUAAUAGCCAGCCGAUUUGAGUGUACUAUGUAAAGAAGCACCGGCUAACUCC